GGUCUUGUAGCUCAGAGGUCAGAGCGCCUGACUUCGGAUCAGGAUGUCGUCGGUUCGAUCCCGGCCAGGAUCA